AUUGAACGCUGGCGGCAGGCCUAACACAUGCAAGUCGAACGGUAACAGGAAGCAGCUUGCUGCUUCGCUGACGAGUGGCGGACGGGUGAGUAAUGUCUGGGAAACUGCCUGAUGGAGGGGGAUAACUACUGGAAACGGUAGCUAAUACCGCAUAACGUCGCAAGACCAAAGAGGGGGACCUUCGGGCCUCUCGCCACUGGAUGUGCCCAGAUGGGAUUAGCUAGUAGGCGGGGUAAUGGCUCACCUAGGCGACGAUCCCUAGCUGGUCUGAGAGGAUGACCAGCCACACUGGAACUGAGACACGGUCCAGACUCCUACGGGAGGCAGCAGUGGGGAAUAUUGCACAAUGGGCGCAAGCCUGAUGCAGCCAUGCCGCGUGUAUGAAGAAGGCCUUCGGGUUGUAAAGUACUUUCAGCGGGGAGGAAGGGAGUAAAGUUAAUACCUUUGCUCAUUGACGUUACCCGCAGAAGAAGCACCGGCUAACUCCGUGCCAGCAGCCGCGGUAA
rnacentral:rRNA from 1 species